GCCUCGAUAGCUCAGUUGGGAGAGCGUUAGACUGAAGAUCUAAAGGUCCCUGGUUCAAUCCCGGGUCGAGGCA
rfam:Ciona intestinalis ciona1133, whole genome shotgun sequence.